UAGGGAAUCUUCGGCAAUGGACGGAAGUCUGACCGAGCAACGACGCGUGAGUGAAGAAGGUUUUCGGAUCGAAAAGCUCUGUCGUUAGAGAAGAACGUUGGUAGGAGUGGAAAAUCUACCAAGUGACGGUAACUAACCAGAAAGGGACGGCUAACUACGUGCCAGCAGCCGCGGUAAUACGUAGGUCCCGGGCGUUGUCCGGAUUUAUUGGGCGUAAAGCGAGCGCAGGCGGUUCUUUAAGUCUGAAGUUAAAGGCAGUGGCUUAACCAUUGUACGCUUUGGAAACUGGUGGACUUGAGUGCAGAAGGGGUGAGUGGAAUUCCAUGUGUAGCAGUGAAGUGCGUAGAUAUAUGGAGGAACACCGGUGGCGAGAGCGGCUCUCUGGUCUGUAACUGACGCUGAGGCUCGAAAGCGUGGGGAGCAAACAGG
rnacentral:rRNA from 1 species